GAUGAACGCUGGCGGCGUGCCUAACACAUGCAAGUCGAGCGAUCUUCUUCGGAAGAGAGCGGCGGACGGGUGAGUAACGCGUGGGUAACCUGCCCUGUACACACGGAUAACAUACCGAAAGGUAUGCUAAUACGAGAUAAUAUGCUUUUAUCGCAUGGUAGAAGUAUUAAAGCUCCGGCGGUACAGGAUGGACCCGCGUCUGAUUAGCUAGUUGGUAAGGUAACGGCUUACCAAGGCGACGAUCAGUAGCCGACCUGAGAGGGUGAUCGGCCACAUUGGAACUGAGACACGGUCCAAACUCCUACGGGAGGCAGCAGUGGGGAAUAUUGCACAAUGGGCGAAAGCCUGAUGCAGCAACGCCGCGUGAGCGAUGAAGGCCUUCGGGUCGUAAAGCUCUGUCCUCAAGGAAGAUAAUGACGGUACUUGAGGAGGAAGCCCCGGCUAACUACGUGCCAGCCGCCGCCGUAAGAC
rnacentral:rRNA from 1 species